AGAGCCCCCUAUUUCUAAUUUUGAGACGCCCUGGGCGCUUAUUACGUCGAAUACGGUAGUACUUAUGAAAUAUCUAUGUGAUAACAAUAAAACAGGUGAAGAUGAUAUUUCAAUUAUACAUGUACAAUGUAUAAUGAAUUCUACACUACAGAGGUAUAAGUCUCACAUACCCCCAGUCAACAGACCAGUGUGUAUUCCUGGAGCAUUCUCAGCUCCCUGGGUUUCAUCCAACCCCAAAUGCUUCUAAAAUGUCGAGGGGCGGUGGGGAAGCCCAGUAGUUAAAGUGUUCAAUCGUCACACCGAAGGUCCUAGUUCAAUUCUCCACAUGGGCACAAUGUGUGAAGCCAUUUCUGGUGUCCCCCACCGUGAUAUUGCUGGAAGAUUGCUGAAAGCAGCGUAAAAUCAUACUCACUCAGUUUAAAAAGUCUAAGGUGACAAUAGGACAAGUUACGAUAACAACCUUGUUUGGCUCACUGGAAAUGUCAAAAGUUUGCUGAAAUAUUAGAAUGAAAUUUAUAAGACAUGUUUAAAUAGGUGACAACUAGCCUUUUUUCUUUGUUAUGCUGGCAAGUUUUGGACUAUUGGUUUGAUCAAUCCAGGUUAAAUGAGUGAAAUGGCCAACUUCAAGAAAAAACUUAAGUAUGUGCAAUUCCAUGACCAAGGAUGAAUUUUUACCACAUUUUUCUGCUACAUCUUUAGACAAAAUCAGCUUGGGUCAAAGAUUUGGUCAUAUUAAGAAAAUCAGUUGGACUUAGUAUCAUUACAAGUCCCAUGCAGUUGACUAAGUCUCAUUCCUAUGUCCUUUUGAAUUUGUUACAACUAAUGUGAUGGCUUUGUGGAGGUGCUCGUAGAGGUGACAUGUGGAGGUGCUCGUAGAGGUGACAUGUGGAGGUGCUCAUUGAGGUGACAUGUGGCGGUGCUCGUAGAGGUGACAUGUGGAGGUGCUCGUAGAGGUGACAUGUGGACGUGCUCGUAGAGGUGACAUGUGGAGGUGCUCGUAGAGGUGACAUGUGGAGGUGCUCGUAGAGGUGACAUGUGGAGGUACUCGUAGAGGUGACAUGUGGAGGUGCUUGUAGAGGUGACAUGUGGAGGUGCUCGUAGAGGUGACAUGUGGAGGUGCUCGUAGAGGUGACAUGUGGAGGUGCUCGUAGAGGUGACAUGUGGAGGUGCUCGUAGAGGUGACAUGUGGAGGUGCUUGUGGAGGUGACAUGUGGAGGUGCUCGUAGAGGUGCUCGUAGAGGUGCUCAUUGAGGUGACAUGUGGCGGUGCUCGUAGAGGUGACAUGUGGAGGUGCUCGUAGAGGUGACAUGUGGACGUGCUCGUAGAGGUGACAUGUGGAGGUGCUCGUAGAGGUGACAUGUAGAGGUGACAUGUGGAGGUGCUCGUAGAGGUGACAUGUGGACGUGCUCGUAGAGGUGACAUGUGGAGGUGCUCGUAGAGGUGACAUGUGGAGGUGCUCGUAGGGGUGACAUGUGGAGGUGCUCGUAGAGGUGACAUGUGGAGGUGCUCGUAGAGGUGACAUGUGGCGGUGCUCGUAGAGGUGACAUGUGGCGGUGCUCGUAGAGGUGACAUGUGGAGGUGCUCGUAGAGGUGACAUGUAGAGGUGACAUGUGGAGGUGCUCGUAGAGGUGACAUGUGGAGGUGACAUGUGGAGGUGCUCGUAGAGGUGACAUGUGGCGGUGCUCGUAGAGGUGACAUGUGGAGGUGCUUGUGGAGGUGACAUGUGGAGGUGCUCGUAGAGGUGACAUGUGGAGGUGCUUGUGGAGGUGACAUGUGGAGGUGCUCGUAGAGGUGCUCGUAGAGGUGCUCAUUGAGGUGACAUGUGGCGGUGCUCGUAGAGGUGACAUGUGGAGGUGCUCGUAGAGGUGACAUGUGGACGUGCUCGUAGAGGUGACAUGUGGCGGUGCUCGUAGAGGUGACAUGUGGAGGUGCUCGUAGAGGUGACAUGUGGAGGUGCUCGUAGGGGUGACAUGUGGAGGUGCUCGUAGAGGUGACAUGUGGCGGUGCUCGUAGAGGUGACAUGUGGAGGUGCUCGUAGAGGUGACAUGUGGACGUGCUCGUAGAGGUGACAUGUGGAGGUGCUCGUAGAGGUGACAUGUAGAGGUGACAUGUGGAGGUGCUCGUAGAGGUGACAUGUGGCGGUGCUCGUAGAGGUGACAUGUGGAGGUGCUUGUAGAGGUGACAUGUGGAGGUGUUUGUAGAGGUGACAUGUGGAGGUGCUCGUACAGGUGACAUGUGGAGGUGUUCGUAGAGGUGACAUGUGGAGGUGCUCGUAGAGGUGACAUGUGGAGGUGUUUGUAGAGGUGACAUGUGGAGGUGCUCGUAGAGGUGACAUGUGGAGGUGCUCGUAGAGGUGACAUGUGGAGGUGCUCGUAGAGGUGACAUGUGGAGGUGCUCGUAGAGGUGACAUGUGGAGGUGCUCGUAGAGGUGACAUGUGGAGGUGCUCAUAGAGGUGACAUGUGGAGGUGCUCGUAGGGGUGACAUGUGGAGGUACUCGUAGAGGUGACAUGUGGAUGUGCUCGUAGAGGUGACAUGUGGAGGUGCUCGUAGAGGUGACAUGUGGAGGUGCUCGUAGAGGUGACAUGUGGAGGUGCUCAUAGAGGUGACAUGUGGAGGUGCUGGUAGGGGUGACAUGUGGAGGUGCUCGUAGAGGUGACAUGUGGAGGUGCUCGUAGAGGUGACAUGUGGAGGUGCUCGUAGAGGUGACAUGUGGAGGUGCUCGUAGAGGUGACAUGUGGAGGUGACAUGUGGAGGUGCUGGUAGGGGUGACAUGUGGAGGUACUCGUAGAGGUGACAUGUGGAGGUGCUCGUAGGGGUGACAUGUGGAGGUACUCGUAGAGGUGACAUGUGGAGGUGCUCGUAGAGGUGACAUGUAGAGGUGACAUGUGGAGGUGCUCGUAGAGGUGACAUGUGGAGGUGACAUGUGGAGGUGACAUGUGGAGGUGCUCGUAGAGGUGACAUGUGGAGGUGACAUGUGGAGGUGACAUGUGGAGGUGCUCGUAGAGGUGACAUGUGGAGGUGCUCGUAGAGGUGACAUGUGGAGGUGCUCGUAGGGGUGACAUGUGGAGGUGCUCGUAGGGGUGACAUGUGGAGGUGCUCGUAGAGGUGACAUGUGGAGGUGCUCGUAGAGGUGACAUGUGGAGGUGACAUGUGGAGGUGCUCGUAGGGGUGACAUGUGGAGGUACUCGUAGAGGUGACAUGUGGAGGUGCUCGUAGAGGUGACAUGUAGAGGUGACAUGUGGAGGUGCUCGUAGAGGUGACAUGUGGAUGUGCUCGUAGAGGUGACAUGUGGAGGUGCUCGUAGAGGUGACAUGUGGAGGUGCUCGUAGAGGUGACAUGUGGAGGUGCUCGUAGAGGUCGCUGAUGACAGGAC
rnacentral:lncRNA from 1 species